CCUACGGGAGGCAGCAGUGAGGAAUAUUGGUCAAUGGGCGAGAGCCUGAACCAGCCAAGUCGCGUGAGGGAGUACUGCCCUAUGGGUUGUAAACCUCUUUUGUCGGGGAGCAAAAGCCGGACGUGUCCGGCGGUGAGAGUACCCGAAGAAAAAGCAUCGGCUAACUCCGGGCCAGCAGCCGCGGUAAUACGGAGGAUGCGAGCUUUAUCCGGUUUUAUUGGGUUUAAAGGGUGCGCAGGCGGUCUGUUAAGUCAGCGGUCAAAGCCCGGGGGUCAACCCCGGCCCGCCGUUGAAACUGGCAGUCUCGAGUUGGAGAGAAGUAUGCGGAAUGCGCGGUGUAGCGGUGAAAUGCAUAGAUAUCGCGCAGAACUCCGAUUGCGAAGGCAGCAUGCCGGCUCCACACUGACGCUGAGGCACGAAAGCGUGGGUAUCGAACAGGAUUAGAUACCCCAGUAGUC
rnacentral:rRNA from 1 species